rnacentral:misc_RNA from 1 species
GAUGAAGAACGCAGCGAAAUGCGAUACGUAGUGUGAAUUGCAGAAAUACGUGAACCAUCGAAUCUUUGAACGCAUAUUGCGCUCGAGGCUUCGGCCGAGAGCAUGUCUGCCUCAGCGUCGCUUUAACCCCUCACACCCCAACCCCUGGGUUGGUUCUGUGUGGAACUGGCUUUCCCAGCGCCUCGUGUGCUGGGUUGGCUGAAGCGCAGAGGUUGAUGCAUGGACCCGUUAUGGGCCUCAGCUGGGUAGGCAACUUGUUGCUCAUGCUUUAGCUGCUGGCUUGGGACUGUGCUGUCAACCCGAACCAGGAAUCGGUGCAAGCCGAAUCUUAAUUUUCGACCUGAGCUCAGGCAAGAACACCCGCUGAACUUAAGCAUACCAAUAAGCGGAGGA